rnacentral:rRNA from 1 species
UACGUAGGGUGCGAGCGUUGUCCGGAUUUAUUGGGCGUAAAGAGCUUGUAGGCGGCUCGUCACGUCGGGUGUGAAAACUCGCGGCUCAACCGCGAGCCUGCACCCGAUACGGGCGGGCUAGAGUUCGGCAGGGGAGACUGGAAUUCCUGGUGUAGCGGUGAAAUGCGCAGAUAUCAGGAGGAACACCAAUGGCGAAGGCAGCUCGCUGGGACGUGACUGACGCUGAGACGCGAAAGCGUGGGGAGCAAACAGG